rnacentral:rRNA from 1 species
CCCCUAGAUGUUCUGGGCCGCACGCGCGCUACACUGAACAGUUCAACAAGUCUUAACCUUGGCCGAUAGGUCUGGGUAAUCUUUGAACGCUGUUCGUGAUUGGGAUAGACCUUUGCAAUUAUGGGUCUUCAACGAGGAAUUCCUAGUAAACGCAAGUCAUCAGCUUGCAUUGAUUACGUCCCUGCCCUUUGUACACACCGCCCGUCGCACCUACCGAUUGAAUGGUCCGGUGAAAUCUCGGGACGGCGGCUUGGUCGCUUGCGUCCGACUGCUGAAACUUGAUUAAACCAUAUAAUUUAGAGGAAGGUGAAGUCGUAACA